GUCGUCGACUUCUCCCAAGUGUCCUUUGCGCGCCUAGUGCAUAGGUAACCCAAAACUACUCAAUGUCAAUAAACCGGAAAUAAAAACAAACAAACGUCAUAAAGUUCCAAAACAGAAAGUGAAAGACAACAAUAUAACAAACGUUACGCUGAUGAAAAGAGAAACGUUAGAGAAAGCCCAAUAAAAGUUGGCGACUACGUUUUGUGGAAGCAAGAGAGACGGAGCACAUUGUCAUCUCGCGAAACAACAACACGGUGACAUA